GCCUGCCGCUGUUCCAGGGAUAGCUCUGCUGUCGGACUGUUAGCGAGGACGAAAUUAGUCGCCAUCUUGGAUUAUACACAGUUUGGCUGCGCUUCGUCAGGGCAAUUUGUGAUUUUGUAACUUUAUACUUACCUGUCUUCGAGGCAACAUCUCCUAAACUAUCGCUUAGAAAUGUACCUGCCCUCCGAGCCGGUGUGCACCCGCUGCAGCAUUCAGACAAGAUGAGGUCCCAAAACAUCUUUUAUUUCAUUCUGCUUGUUGAGAGGCCAGCAGGCACCUCAGCGGUCUCCAAGGAGCUGUUAGGGUGAAAUCCCCCCAGCAAAGAUACUUGGCAGCCAUUUACAGCCACUAAGGACAGAACCUCUACUGAUCCCACUGUUGUGCCUUCACUGUUGAUCCUGGAACUCCUCAAGCAGACAUCGACCCCGACUAAAGCCCUUGUGGACUUGAGGAUGACAGAGAAAUGGACAGCAAUGGGGCUUAGUUUGUGCCAGAAACCUCCACAUUAAGACCAGCAACUAUUUUGUGGAAUCCUGCACUUCCUCUUUCAACAUUAACAUUUGAUAAUUAAUCUUCUGACAUACUUAAUAGUAUCAGUUUUAAGUGUUCCUUUAUCUCUCUCUGACUUACUGUAAAUCCCUCCUGUAAGAAGGCACUGUAGCCUGUCAGUAAGUUAGACAGCCAGUCAGUCAGACACUAAUCUAGGUGUUCAGUCUGCUCCAGACACUAGCUGCAGUUACAUGCACAAUUAUCACAAUGCACAAUUUCUUCAACCCAAUUAAAAUCAUUCUGAUUAGAGAUUCCAACUUAACUGUUUACAUGGUCGCUAAAUAAAGUGAUGCGAUGUGCGUUUACAUGCCUCAAAGCAUUUAAUCAGAAUAUAACUUUUUUAAAGGUGUUCCGCCUGCUGUUAAGUGUUUAUUCUGCCGGAAAUAUAACAGAAGAAGAAGUUCUGCUGUUCUGUUUCUGUUUCAAUCCUUGCUGCAUUCACAGACGGUAGACGGCAAACCCGGACAUCAUUUUAGUCGACGAGAUGGCUAAAUUAGGUGAUCAGUACAGAGCUGGUUGGAAUACCAGGUAGGUAAUAUGGAAAGUGUGUUAUGCUAUAUUAGCUUAGUGAGCUCUCUGGCUAGCUAUUAACUUUGUGUAGCUGACAUCACCAUAACAACAUAUCGUCGUGCAUGUUUCGCUUUGCCAUCCAGCCAUUCUGUCCGACUGUUUGUUUUUCCCGUCCCAUUCAAAAGGUAUUGUCUGUCUGCCGUCUACCGUCUGCCUAAAUCCAUGUGAAUGCAGCACGGUCUCCAACAAAAGAAGUUGUGUCAGCCACAGGCAAGUUUUGUUUUGCUACCGCCAUGUUUCUGUCCCUCCCAGAAACUUGUUUACGUCACCUAAUCAGUGUUGCCAACUUUUUUCCAAUGAAAGUAGCUACCGCUAGCUCCAAACGUUGCUAAAAAUAACCAGGUGAUGUCAUACGCUCAUUUGCAUGUUGAUUGCAAGCAGGCAUCAUUUGCAUACCGCUUAGUGCGUUGAGGGAGAGAUCACCUUAAUUUAAGACAUAUAAAACGUGGAUAGAGAAAUCUUUGGCCAAAUAAUCACAAACUCACUACAGGGACAUCGUAUAUUUGAAGUAAAAAAGUAGGAGUGUGAAGAUCAAACAAACAAUUUAAAUAUUUCAAAGAAGAUCAAACGAACUAUUUACAUAUUUACAACAUGAAGUAACAUCUUAACCCAGAUAGAAGGAGUGAGAGAGAAGCACAAACGAACUAUCUACAUAUUUACAAAGGAAACAUCCUAAUCCAGAGAUCCGGAGAGAAAGAGUGAAGCUGCCUCACACGCCACACACUGACUGCCUGCGCACAGCGCAAAAGGAGAGGAAGAGAGACACUUUUGGCAGAAGAGCCACAUCAUGCA